rnacentral:rRNA from 1 species
GACAGAGGGUGCAAGCGUUGUUCGGAAUUAUUGGGCGUAAAGGGCGCGUAGGUGGCCAUGUAAGUCAGAUGUGAAAGCCCUGGGCUCAACCCAGGAAGUGCAUCUGAUACUGCGUGGCUUGAGUUCCGGAGAGGAUGGUGGAAUUCCCAGUGUAGAGGUGAAAUUCGUAGAUAUUGGGAGGAACACCGGUGGCGAAGGCGACCAUCUGGACGAGAACUGACACUGAGGCGCGAAAGCGUGGGGAGCGAACAGG